UAUCUCUCCAUACGGGGAAGGGUGAGAAGCUUCGACUAAGGUUCGAUUCGAGCGCAGCGAGAAAGCGUUGCCGCAGGCAACGACCCGAAGGGUGAGGAGCGGAGCGACGAAUAAUCCUUCCCCCACCACCA
rnacentral:sRNA from 1 species